GAUGAACGCUCGCUACAGGCUUAACACAUGCAAGUCGAGGGGAAACGACAUCGAAAGCUUGCUUUUGAUGGGCGUCGACCGGCGCACGGGUGAGUAACGCGUAUCCAACCUGCCCACCACUUGGGGAUAACCUUGCGAAAGUAAGACUAAUACCCAAUGAUAUCUCUAGAAGACAUCUGAAAGAGAUUAAAGAUUUAUCGGUGAUGGAUGGGGAUGCGUCUGAUUAGCUUGUUGGCGGGGUAACGGCCCACCAAGGCAACGAUCAGUAGGGGUUCUGAGAGGAAGGUCCCCCACAUUGGAACUGAGACACGGUCCAAACUCCUACGGGAGGCAGCAGUGAGGAAUAUUGGGCAAUGGACGAGAGUCUGAACCAGCCAAGUAGCGUGCAGGAAGACGGCCCUAUGGGUAGUAAACUGCUUUUAGAAGGGAAUAAAGUGAGUCUCGUGAGACUUUUUGCAUGUACCUUAUGAAUAAGGACCGGCUAAUUCCGUG
rnacentral:rRNA from 1 species